CUUCGCGGCCCCUCGGGGGAAGUGGUGCUGUUUGCUGCAAGCCCCAGAGAUGUACUCCAAGGCGCAGAAGCUCGACGUUCUGGUGAAAGGAAAAACGGCACAGUCUUAUUAUGAAGUUUCAGGUCUGGCUCCAGUGGAAGAAGAGCAAGCUAGUGAUCCAGCAAAAACUAAGCUAGCAUCCAAAGCUAAUAAGGCAAAUAUAAGAUACGCUAAUACAGGCUGGAGCCGUACAACAGAGUUCAGGACUACUUAGUAAGAAACAAAGCUCAAGCAAUACUAACGGUAUAGUAUUUAUUUAAAUUGUCUGAUUUUAUUGAAAAGUAGUGUGUUUUGCAAAGAUUAUAUUAAUGGAACAGUGUAAGUUGCAUAAACUUAGACAUAUGAUAAGUCUGCAGACUUUGGGUUUUGGCACACAAAUGUAGAAUGAAUGUACUCUGUUUUGUGAAGUGCUGGUGGCCCUCUGCAAGUUUAACACAGUGUGAGCACAUGCUAUUAAGAUGGAGCUGAAGCUUCUUAAACUCUUAGCCAUUUCCAAAUCAAAUUGAGCUAUAGCAAAGUUCAGAGUAUGCUAAUCUAUAUCCAGUUAUCAAAAGAUCCUCACCUUGAAUUUAUGGGAUUGUACUCCUUCAAUUAGUUAUACUACUAUCACAUGACCACAAAAUAUACUUGGUGUCCCUGACAGUCUGACUGCCAUGGACAAAAUUAAGCAACAAUGAAGGAGAACAAUCUGUUACAGCAUCAUAGAAUGGUUUGGGUUGGAAGGGACCUUAAAAGAUCAUCCAGUCCUAACUCCCCUGCCAUGGGCAGGGACACUUUCCACUAGACCAGGCAUCCACAUUCAACCUGCCCUUGAACACUUCCACAUCUUUUCUGCAAAACCUCUUCCCAUGUCUCACCACCCUCACUGUAAAAAAAUUCUUCCUUAUAUCCAAUCUCAAUCUACCCUCUUUCAGGUUUAAAUCAUCAUUCUUUGUACAGUCACUGCAGGUGCCAGUGCAAAAAGUCUUCUCUGUCCUCCUUAUAAGGCCCAUUUAUAAAUUGAAAGGAUACAUUGAGAGCAGCCUAGCAAGGUCUGUGAGCAGUUUUGUAUUGAGCAGGAGGUUGGCCUGGCUGCCUCCAGGGAACCCUUCCACCCUAAGUCCUUCUAGGAGUCUACAAAAAUUGCUGUGAAAUUCUGUUUAGGUUCAGUCUUCUGCCUUUUCAUGAGUAAAAGAGAAAAACAGAAAUGUGGCCAACACAAGGACGUUCCUUUCUGCUGAAGCUCCAGGUUGUCCUUGGUUGUUCACCACACUGGUGGCAGAGGACAACAUAAUGUCUUGAGAUAUGUAGCUGUUAGUGAUACCUUGAAUAGAUAAACCCAACUCUUGUAAUUCUGCUGUCUGGAAGACGCGCCUUGGAUAUUUGGAACAGGUAUUUGUAGUGCUGUUUUCCAGUGAACCAAGUUCAAAUGAUAGAGAAUACACUCCUGUUUGAUAAAUAGAAAUUGGCCAUCUGUGUUUGUCACUUUCAAAAAAUAGAUAAAACAUUUAACAGUAAAAAUAGUGCAGCCUUUGCUGUUUGAGAGCACUGUCUAUGUUGAUUUUUGUAUUAAUUAGUUCUUCUAAUGCUCUUGUAACAGAAAUGACUGUAAAAGUUCUUCAGCAAAAGAUUACCAGGAUGAAAAACUUAAGAUUUUUCAAAUUGUUUUUGAUAGAGUAAACUUCAGCAAGACAAAUAUGAUGGAGCUUCUAGUCUAUCCUUGUGUGCUUCGAUCUCAGAAGAAAUAUUACAGGCUGUGAAGGAAUUGAACUUUGAUCGCUAUAAGUAUGUGGUAUCGGUACUAAUUGUGGAAAAGGCAAAUCAGGCAGUGGAAGUGAGCAAACAUAUUACUCAUCUCUUGCAAACUGAAAAUAAUUUUUAGAAUUGUUGCUAUCUCCUAGGCAUUCAUCUACAUUCAGCAGCUUUAGUAGUUUGAGGUGGUCUUGGAGCCUUUGGGUUCUUUAUGCGGAGCAGUAGGCCAGGGGAACAGUUGAAGGUGCUGCUGCAAUUCUGCCUAACCCUUGUGGAAGUUGUAAUCUGAGACUGGCAACAGUGGUAAGCAGCCCAUGCUGCACUUCCCCAUCAAGCGGUUAUUUCCAGUGUGUGCUGUGCCAGUGCAAUUGCACAACUGCAGUGAAUUUCUUUUUCCAGUGUGUUUUGAUCUCCACUUGGGUUGUCACAUUCAUCACAAAAUGCUGUGUGGCUGCAGCUUGAGGUGAUACGGAAAGGAAGGGGUGACAAAGAAAGGGAUGGGAACUGUUUCAACUGGAGCCGCCACCAGACAUGCUCCUGGAAUUACAAAUUAACAUCAAUGAGCUGAACUUGGCACACCCAAAAGAAAAGUAUACUAGCUAUUCCUAUGCUUGUAUAUAAAUGUACAUGUAUUGCAAGUUGCUGCUGGCAUUCAGAACACCUUUAGGUAUCUUGCAGAGUUUCAGACCACUUUUAUUUGGGAGCGUUUUGACUUCAGCUCUUGAACCUGAUGAAACCUGAUGAGACUAUAUGUGAUUUUAGUGGGUUACAUGAAACAGUCUCCAAAGGGUUGUCAUCUUCAGUACCAAAGCCAGUCUGGGGAGGUGGGGGGGGCCUGCUUUUUCAACAAGCCAAUAACAUUAGGACAAGUGGAGUGUCUCAUGGCAUGCUGCCCUGAAGUUGUCCUUUGACUGAAGAGCUGUAGGAUAGAGCAGAUAACUGAAAUGGUCCAAGUUGUUUUGUUUGGUUUGUUUUUUUUUUUCUGCGGAGGAAUGUGUUUAUUCCAGAAGCCAAUUCACACCUUUUAGCUUUGAAAACAGUUUUAUCAAAAAAAGCUGAAAGCCCAGUGAAUGCUCUGAGAUGGACUGGAGUAAGCUGGAGUUGGAGGAGUGGGAGAAGUGACUUCUUUGUUACAUGUUCCACAAACUGAUGUCUAUUUACCUGGCUUUUGAAGGGGUGCUAUUAUGGUACGCUAAAGUGCCAAUAAGAGAACAUGAGAGAAUUGAAGUUUUGCUGUAGAGAUUUUUGGAUCUGUUGGGGUGUGAGCAAGAAUGUGCAUUUUAACAUUGAAUAGGACCUGUUUAUUCUCACUGUGAUUUUGCAGUUGUUACUACUUGUAAGUCUUGUAAUGCAAUUGUAUCAGCAUGUAUAUAAUGUUGUGUGUUCUACAGAGACAUACACAAUCUGUGGUGUAUAGAGAUUCACAGAUAGCUUUUUCUUUUCUUUCCCUUAGGUUGCCAGCAGAUGGGUCUGGGAUGUUCAGAGAGACACUUGGGUUUCAGCUGAAUAUGAAACUAACACAUUUUUUGCAUUGGCUUUGGUAAUGGCUUGUUAUUACGAUUAAUACUCUAAAAGCCACACCUGGUUUUGGUAUAUUAAAAAAUUUCCAGAAUGUCGUUAUUUUAGCACUAAUUUUUGCCCUAAUGUGCUUGGUUUGUUGAAACUGAUAUACAGCUGAGAUAAUUUUGCUCAUUUUUGUGUUAAAAAAAAAACAACCCAACAAAUGAAAGAAAAGGAUAGUUUUGAAAUGCAUAUGAGUCUGUGCAUAUGAGCUUCAACUGCUGGAAUGUUCUGCUGUGGGAGUUGAAGCAGCUUGGUAGAAGACCGAACUUUGCCGGAUUUUGGAUGUUGCUUCUCACAUGCCUAGGGUUGAUAAUAAAAAUUUACAAUAAAUGGCA
rnacentral:lncRNA from 14 species